rnacentral:misc_RNA from 1 species
GAAUCGCUUGACUUGUCUUAAAAUGAUCUUUUUGGCUCUAUUCCAUCCAGCAUUUCUAAUUUGAACUUUUUAAGUUACAUGAAUUUGUCAUUUAAUCACUUAUCUGGACGAAUUCCUUUUGGAAAUCAACUUCAGACUUUGGAUGACAAAUCUAUUUACAUUGGCAACAAUGGACUUCGUGGAUUUCCAUUGAAUAAUUGUU